CACGUAGGGCGCAAGCGUUGUCCGGAAUUAUUGGGCGUAAAGAGCUCGUAGGCGGUCUGUCGCGUCGGCUGUGAAAACUCGGGGCUCAACUCCGAGCUUGCAGUCGAUACGGGCAGGCUAGAGUUCGGCAGGGGAGACUGGAAUUCCUGGUGUAGCGGUGAAAUGCGCAGAUAUCAGGAGGAACACCAAUGGCGAAGGCAGCUCGCUGGGACGGUACUGACGCUGAGACGCGAAAGCGUGGGGAGCAAACAGG
rnacentral:rRNA from 1 species